GACACGACUGAGCGACUGAACUAAACUGAACUGAACUGAGCCACCUGAGAAGCCCCAAAGGCCAUAACAGUUUCUUGAGCGUGAGAACUGCUUCAUGGUUCUACUUACUUGGCAGAGAUAUAGUUCAAAGCUCUCAAUGAAGCUGGAAUUUGAAUCCAAAGCAUUCCUGAUGGUGACCCAGAAUUUCUGCUUGAAUAUCUCUGUGCCUGUGUCACCACCUGAGGGUUCAUAUCCCUUGCUAUUGUGAAUAUGAGCAGCCCACUUUUCCCACCACCAUUUAUUGAAGAGACUGUCUUUUCUCCAAUGUACACUCUUGCCUCCUUUGUCAAAGAUUAUUUGAACGUAG